rnacentral:rRNA from 1 species
UACGGGGUGGGCAAGCGUUGUUCGGAAUUACUGGGCGUAAAGGGCUCGUAGGCGGCCAACCAAGUCAGACGUGAAAUCCCUCGGCUUAACCGGGGAACUGCAUCUGAUACUGGAUGGCUUGAGUUCGGGAGAGGGAUGCGGAAUUCCAGGUGUAGCGGUGAAAUGCGUAGAUAUCUGGAGGAACACCGGUGGCGAAGGCGGCAUCCUGGACCGACACUGACGCUGAGGCGCGAAAGCUAGGGGAGCAAACGGG